rnacentral:lncRNA from 1 species
UUGGCUUUUAUUUAUUUAUUUAUUUAUUUAUUGCCAGAAAACUUUUCCUGGCAUUCCUGUUGGCCCUUGUCCAACUUGUGACAAUUUGCCUGAGGACUGGCUGUUCUGCUAGAUUGUGCCACUACUGCUUAUUGUGUUUGCAGUCCUGACUACUGAAUUGGACUGCUGGUAUAUUCAUGAACUGUUUGUGAGUGGAUCGAACUGUCACUGCUGAGAUGUGAAUUGAACUGCUAAUUUCCUGACAACACAAAUGGGAUUUGCCUAAAGAACCAUUUCUAAACUCGUCUGCUUCCCCCCAUAUCCUUUCUUUUCCACAUGCCAGGUGGGUUGUGGGCUAGAAAGGAGGUUAAAGCAUUUAAGAACCAUCAUAAAAAGUAAGCAUUGAAAAAAACUAAAUGUGGGGAGGAAAAAUAAAAGAAAAAAUUAAAUUUUCACUCUAUCACUUGUUUUAUAGAUUGUUCUAAUCAGUGCGAGAUGCAAUCUCAAAGUAGUUUUGAUUUACAUUUCUCUGAUGACUAAGAAUGUUGAACAUUUCUUUAAUCAAUCAUUCGUCUUUCCUCUUUUGAGAAUUCUCUUACCCCAUUUUAAAAUUCAGUUGUUUUCUUUAUAUCUCAUUUUUUUUUUUUUUUUUUUUGAGACAGGGUUUCCCUGUCUGUCUGUCCUGGAACUCACCUUGUAGACCAGGCUGGCCUUGAACUCAGAAAUCCACCUGCCUCUGCCACCCGAGUGCUGGGAUUAAGGGCGUUCGGCACCACUCCUGACAUAGAUGACUUCUUAAUUCUUAAUGAUAUGUUAGGUCCAUUUGGUUUAUAACACCAGUUAGCUUCAGCGUUUCUCUGCUUAGUUUAGUUUUUGUCUGGAUGACCUGUCUGUUGGCAAGAGUCAAGUAGUGAAGUCUCUCACUACCAGUGAGUGGAACAAUAUAUGAUUUAAGCUGUACUAAUGUUCUUUUAUGAAUUUGAGUUGCAAUAUAUUUGGGCCAUAUGCAUCUAAAAUUGCAAUGUGCUCAAGGUGGACAUUUCAUUUGAUGAGUAUGUGUCUCUUUUGAUUAGUUUUGUGUUGAAGUCUAGUUUGUCAGAUAUUAAAGUGGCUAUACCAGCUUUCUUCUUAGGUCUAUUUGCUCAGAAUAUUUUUUCCUCCAUUUUUACCCUGAUGUCCAUCCUUGAGGUUAAGAUGUGUUUCUGUUUCUUGGAUGCAUCAGAAGGUUGGAUACUGUUUUUUAUAUCCAUA